GGUCUCUUUCUACUCUUUUGGAGAAAUUCUGUUCGUGCUGAUUCUUGUAUGACUGAAGAUAAGCUCUUGAAUCUCAUUCUCCAUAUUAAGAGCGGUGAUAAGAAUAAUUUAUCUUCUUUGUUGCUGAAGCCUGACUGUCGUGCCAGUUGUUGUGCUUCGUUUAUUGUUGUUCUUUGGUCAACUGAAGGUAAGAAUUACUUAUGGAUCUCAGUCUCAAAGACAGUAGAUAGAGUUACAUAGAUAUGUAGCAAAAGGUUUGACAGUGUUUCAAAUGCUGUUGUUCUGUCCUAGUAUUCCUCACAGUCGCUCGUAUUGUCUACAGGUAAAUACGGUUUUCCAAUUGGAUCUAGUUGCUGCCGCCCUCUUGCAACCUGAAUUUGGAACCCCAGAAAGUCAAACCGUACAUUACAUGCUCGAGCUGGUCAGUGGCGUCUACGACAGUUGCGUCCACCGCAGCAUACGGUGUGCAGCACGUGAGAAGAUCCACAUCCAUCCUAAGAAAUCGCUAGGCCUAAUUUCUCUCUACAUUGACUUCAGAGAUGGUGUACAUAACUCAAGAGUCGGCAAUUUCUGCAAUAUCUUAGAUCUUUCGAGUAAGGGAUUGCAGCCUCUAUUCAGAAUUCCGAUUUGCCAAAGAAAGAUGAUCAAUGGCUAGCCAUGGAAAUCUUGGCACGCGAAAAAGAGGGAAUUGCGGUUAUCAGACGAAUGGAUUCCGCCGCUCCUUCCAUGAGAUCAUCUUCUCACGGGAAUUUUGAUUCUUGCAUGUGGGCAUGAUGUGUACAAAAGCGGACUGUAUCAGGAGGUCAUUCAGAGACCAGAGCAUUUUAAUCUUGUGAACUUUUCCAAUCAAUGCCAUAACUUUCCAUGGCAAAGCUGCGUCCCUAGGGGCUUGCCCCUGCAGACAUUGUCUUCUGGACGUUUUGUAUAUGUCCGCAAGGACAUCAUGCCUCUUGUUCUCUCCCA